rnacentral:tRNA from 1 species
GUAAGCAUAGGUUAAUAUAAACCAUUAGGUUGUGAUCCUAAAAAUAGAGGUUAAACCCCUCUCGCUCACC